GAGUUUGAUCGUGGCUCAGAACGAACGCUGGCGGCAUGCCUAACACAUGCAAGUCGAACGAAGCCUUCGGGCUUAGUGGCGCACAGGUGCGUAACGCGUGGGAAUCUGCCCUUGGGUUCGGAAUAACAGUUAGAAAUGACUGCUAAUACCGGAUGAUGUCUUCGGACCAAAGAUUUAUCGCCCAAGGAUGAGCCCGCGUAGGAUUAGGUAGUUGGUGGGGUAAUGGCCCACCAAGCCGACGAUCCUUAGCUGGUCUGAGAGGAUGAUCAGCCACACUGGGACUGAGACACGGCCCAGACUCCUACGGGAGGCAGCAGUGGGGAAUAUUGGACAAUGGGCGAAAGCCUGAUCCAGCAAUGCCGCGUGAGUGAUGAAGGCCUUAGGGUUGUAAAGCUCUUUUACCAGGGAUGAUAAUGACAGUACCUGGAGAAUAAGCUCCGGCUAACUCCGUGCCAGCCGCCGCGGUAAU
rnacentral:rRNA from 1 species